rnacentral:misc_RNA from 1 species
AAGUCGUAACAAGGUUUCCGUAGGUGAACCUGCGGAAGGAUCAUUACCAAAUCCAAAAAACUUUAUCAACACCCCAAUGUGAACUAUGAAUGGUUUCGUUCCCUCGAACAGAUUUCGGGAUCUUGCUAAAAACAAAGUUCCGAGCUGCGAGAGGGAAUGUUAUAAUUUUCAACCCCUUUACAACUAUACAACUAUUAUUUAUGCUGAAAGCAAAAACAAACGAAACAUGAGACAACUUUUAACGGUGGAUCUCUUGGCUCGU